GAGGAAUAAGCAUCGGCUAACUCCGUGCCAGCAGCCGCGGUAAUACGGGGGAUGCAAGCGUUAUCCGGAAUCAUUGGGCGUAAAGCGCCUGUAGGUUGUUUAAUAAGUCUGUUGUUAAAGACUGGGGCUUAACCCCAGGAAAGCAAUGGAAACUACUAGACUAGAGUAUGGUAGGGGUAAAGGGAAUUUCUAGUGUAGCGGUGAAAUGCGUAGAUAUUAGAAAGAACACCGGUGGCGAAAGCGCUUUACUGGACCAUUACUGACACUCAGAGGCGAAAGCUAGGGUAGCCAAAGGGAUUAGAUACCCCUGUAGUCCUAGCCGUAAACGAUGGAUACUAGAUGUUGCGCUUAUUGUGCAGUGUCGUAGCUAACGCGUUAAGUAUCCCGCCUGGGGAGUACGAUCGCAAGGUUGAAACUCAAAGGAAUUGACGGGGGCCCGCACAAGCGGUGGAGCAUGUGGUUUAAUUCGAUGCAACGCGAAGAACCUUACCAGGGCUUGACAUACUGCAAAUUUUCUUGAAAGAGAAAAGUGCCUUCGGGAAUGCAGAUACAGGUGGUGCAUGGCUGUCGUCAGCCCGUGUCGUGAGAUGUUGGGUUAAGUCCCGCAACGAGCGCAACCCUCGUUUUUAGUUGCCAUUUUAUGGGUUCUCUAGAAAGACUGCCGGUGACAAACCGGAGGAAGGUGGGGAUGACGUCAAGUCAGCAUGCCCCUUAUGCCCUGGGCUACACACGUGCUACAAUGGCUAAGACAAAGAGUCGCGAAUUCGCGAGAAUCAGCUAAUCUCAUAAACUUAGUCUAAGUUCAGAUUGUAGGCUGCAACUCGCCUGCAUGAA
rnacentral:rRNA from 1 species